AUGAACGCUGGCGGCGUGCUUAACACAUGCAAGUCGAACGAUGAAGCCCAGCUUGCUGGGUGGAUUAGUGGCGAACGGGUGAGUAACACGUGAGUAACCUGCCCUUAACUCUGGGAUAAGCCUGGGAAACUGGGUCUAAUACCGGAUAGGAGCGCCUACCGCAUGGUGGGUGUUGGAAAGAUUUAUCGGUUUUGGAUGGACUCGCGGCCUAUCAGCUUGUUGGUGAGGUAAUGGCUCACCAAGGCGACGACGGGUAGCCGGCCUGAGAGGGUGACCGGCCACACUGGGACUGGGACCCGGCCCAAGCUCCUACGGGGGGCAGCGGGGGGGAAUAUGGAACAAGGGGCGAAAGCCUGAUGCAGGGACGCCGGGUGGGGGAUGACGGCCUUGGGGUUGUAACCCUCUUUCAGUAGGGAAGAAGCGAAAGUGACGGUACCGGAAAAAGAAGCACCGGCUAACUACGU
rnacentral:rRNA from 1 species